CGUCAUUUCACCUCCUUCAUCCGAGAUUACCCCGCUGAACUUAAGCAUAUCAAUAAGGCGGAGGAAAAGAACCAACAGGGAUUGCCUCAGUAACGGCGAGUGAAGCGGCAAAAGCUCAAAUUUGAAACCCUCGGGAUUGUAAUUUGAAGAUUUGGCAUUGGAGAAAGCUAACCCAAGUUGCUUGGAAUAGUACGUCAUAGAGGGUGACAACCCCGUCUGGCUAACCGUUCUCCAUGUAUUGCCUUAUCAAAGAGUCGAGUUGUUUGGGAAUGCAGCUCAAAGUGGGUGGUAAACUCCAUCUAAAGCUAAAUACUGGUGAGAGACCGAUAGCGAACAAGUACUGUGAAGGAAAGGUGAAAAGAACUUUGAAAAGAGAGUGAAAUAGUAUGUGAAAUUGUUGAUAGGGAAGGAAAUGAGUGGAGAGUGGCCGAGGUUUCAGCCGCCCCUCGUGGGCGGUGUACUGCCGACGCCGAGUCAUCGAUAGCGAGACGAGGGUUACAAAUGGGAGCGCCUUCGGGCGUUCUCCCC
rnacentral:rRNA from 1 species